AUUUUACGGGCAGCGGAGCGUCUCCUGCCCGAGUACGCCAGUUAGGCUUUGAAAGGGGCUGGCCUAGAUAGUAUUAUGCAAACUACCUGCAAAUUGCCUUCAAAAGUGUCACGAGAUUUAUUCUAAAAUUGAGGAAACGCUGCUUGAAAGGCCUGGGAGAGCCGCUGCCAGCCAGCCAGCCAAUGAGGCAGAAGGGCCAAUGGUCUGGUUUGUGUAUAGCUGCUUCCUGUGUAACUCUCUGCUACAAGAUGAGCUGACAACGAACACUACCUUGAACGGAGAGGUCUCUCAGGCUUCUCAUCCUGUAAUAUGGAGACCCCAGGUGCAUAAGAAGUAUAUCACUGCAUACUGAAAAUGGGACCCACUGACUGGUGUUCAUCCCUGAUGGUGCUGCAAAUGAGUUUAUUGGAGGUGGUCUAAUUAGCAAGUGCAGCUGGCAGGAUAGUAGACGAGUGUGGUGCUUGAUCGGAUCCAGCAAGGAAAUUGGCAUGUGUUUUAUUAAAAGGGGAUUGGACCGACUGAUGGAAGUGAAGAGGUUUAACGAUGCGUAUUAGGAACCCCAGCUCCCAAAGAGCAUAACUAUAAAUAGUGUAAGAGCAGCUCUGCUGCUGUAGCCCACACACCACCUAGUCCUGUAUGCCAGUAACAGCCCAACCAAGUGAGAGCAACCAACUCCUUCACUCCAUUUACUAAACUUUUCUCUAAAUCAGUCAUUCCAUCCAUCAUUUUGGGUACCCUUUUCUAACAAUGUAAUAUUUUUUCCAUAGAUUGGUGUUGCAGCAUUAUGAUAUCAACAGUUUUCUUUUCAGUUUCUUUCCCAAUGAUCCCUAGCAUGGAAGUUGUCCUUUUUCACAGCUACCACAUGCUAUGUCAACAACUUCAUUGAGCUAUCCACUGCCACCCUGAAGGUCUCAUUCCUGGCAACUCACCAUCAGAUUCACAGACCACGAGGUAUAUGUAAAAUUAAGGUAUUUUGUCCCAACAUACAUCAAUUCAUAGUUUAGGGUGAACUACAUUUUCCUCAUUAUCUCCAGAGAGAAAAGAGCAGGCAGCUGUGGGAGGAAGCUCAAGCCUGCAUCUAGCCUCAAAGAUUAUUCCUCCCUCUGUGGUAGAAGAAGGUGCCCCAAGAAAGAUGAAGGAGCAGGAAGCAAGCUCCCUGUGGCUUGCAGCACAGUUCCAAUGCAUAAUUGCUCUUGCAAAGUCAAGAACCAAGGAGGUGAAGUGACGGGGUGGUAGGAAGCUAAUUGCAGCAGAGGAGAUGGGAGGAACCAGCUCAGAUAACAGCCAUCUGCCUGCAGGCCCAGCUUCUACUACCACCCACAACUAUACCAGAAUUCUAAUCCUGAGCAAGAUUAGCCACAGAACUGGGCCUUUUCUAUGAGGCAGCUCCUCUUGGCUCUCAAAGAAAUACCAAAGAAUUGGGAAGGCGGGAGGGAGAGAGAGGCAGUUGUUCAGAAAGGAAGCAAGAGUAUACAUACAUAUACAGCAAGACCCAUAGUUCUCUUCA